GACGAACGCUGGCGGCGUGCCUAAUACAUGCAAGUGGGACGCAAGGGAACACACUGUGCUUGCACACCGUGUUUUCUUGAGUCGCGAACGGGUGAGUAACGCGUAGGUAACCUGCCUAUUAGCGGGGGAUAACUAUUGGAAACGAUAGCUAAUACCGCAUAAUAUUAAUUAUUGCAUGAUAAUUGAUUGAAAGAUGCAAGCGCAUCACUAGUAGAUGGACCUGCGUUGUAUUAGCUAGUUGGUAAGGUAAGAGCUUACCAAGGCGACGAUACAUAGCCGACCUGAGAGGGUGAUCGGCCACACUGGGACUGAGACACGGCCCAGACUCCUACGGGAGGCAGCAGUAGGGAAUCUUCGGCAAUGGACGAAAGUCUGACCGAGCAACGCCGCGUGAGUGAAGAAGGUUUUCGGAUCGUAAAGCUCUGUUGUAAGUCAAGAACGUGUGUGAGAGUGGAAAGUUCACACAGUGACGGUAGCUUACCAGAAAGG
rnacentral:rRNA from 1 species